AUGCCAGGACGGCCGCCGCUCCGCUCAGAGCCCCCUCUCGGCGGCUGGCCGGGUCUCGCCCGCGCCGCCGGGGCGCUGACUCAGCCGCAGCCCGCCCAGCCCGGCUUGGGCAGCGCCCCCCGCGCCACCGACCAGCACGCGCCGCAGCGAGCGCACCGGACUGCCUCGCCAGCUGCUGCCAGUUUGGGUCCCUGCUUUCUAAAGGAAAGGCCACUGCUCUCUCUGGCUUCCAGCUGUGAUGUCUGGUCACCCCCGCCUCCCUCCUGAAGCAGCCGCACCCAGGGUGCAUGCCCACCCAGUGGCCCUUAUGAAGUGGUGAUCACUCUGACCAGCAGGGGUGGAAGAUGGUACCAGUCAACGCUGUGCCGGAGGAGGAGCCAGAAGCUGCCACUGAGAGAUGGAGGACCCCACGCCUGAGCCCGUCUACGUGGACGUGGACAAAGGACUGACCUUGGCCUGCUUCGUCUUCCUCUGCCUGUUCCUCGUCGUGAUGAUCAUCCGCUGCGCCAAGGUCAUCAUGGACCCUUACAGCGCCAUCCCCACGUCCACCUGGGAGGAGCAGCACCUGGACGACUGAGGCGCGGGCGGGCAGAGGCAGUGGGGAGGGACCAAGACCCUGGCGCUCUCUGGACGAGGUUGCCCCGGGACACACCUCCGUCCCCUGGCCACCAGCCUGCUAGCGCCUGGGGGCAGGCGGGAACAGAUUCGGCUACUAGGGGUGGAGGUGGCUCAACUUAGCCUUGUCCACUCCCACACGAGCAGCAGGUUGAGAUGCGUGGGAUGCUGUGGGCGGUGCCAUGGCCAGCCAGUCUGGGGAUGAGAGGUCUGCGAGUCAGUAGGCCCGGGUUCCAGGCUGGGGACUCAGUGUGAGACUAUGGGCGGUCACCUUCCCUGGCUCCCAAACCCCAUUUGGCAUUGGAUACAGGACAUAUCAUGUAACAGUGGUCCAGUUUUGAGGAGACCCUUGCCCUGAUCAUGCCAAGAAGCACACGUACUAGCCCCAGGGUUGCACAGCACAGACAUCCACCUGAAACCCAGCCCCUUCCCAAUGGGCUGGCAGUGGAGCCAGGGUGGUGACCCAGGGAAGCAGAUGGAUUCAAAUUCACAAAAGGCAGAGGGGCUGCUUCCCAGCAAUAUUUUUUUAAACUAAAAUAUAGAAGGGUAUAUUUUUUCCUGUUAUAAAUGAAAUGUGUAUUUUAGAAGUUUGGAAAAAUACAGAAAAAUAAUAGAAGGAAAGGGGGAAAAUAAUACUUAUAAUUCCACUUCCCCAAAGCCGCCAUCUUGAUAUAUUUUCUCUCAGUAUUUUUACAUAUAUUUUUCAAUAGUCAAACUGUGUGCAUUGUGUUGCAUCACUUCAUGUUAGAGCAUGAACACUUUCUCAUGUCAUCAAACUCUUCAGUUCAGUUCAGUUCACUUCAGUUGCUCAGUCACGUCCGACUCUUUGUGACCCCAUGAACCACAGCACGCCAGGCCUCCCUGUCCAUCACCAACUCCCGGAGUCUACCCAAAUCCAUGUCCAUCGAGUCGGUGAUGCCAUCCAGCCAUCUCAUCCUCUAUCAUCGCCUUCUCCUCUUGCCCUCAAUUUUUUCCAGCAUCACAGUCUUUUCAAAUGAGUCAGUUCUUCGCAUCAGGUGGCCAAAAUAUUGGAGUUUCAGCUUCAACAUCAGUCCUUCCAGUGAACACCCAAGACUUAUCUCCUUUGGGCUGUACUAGUUGGAUCUCCUUGCAGUCCAAGAGACUCUCAAGAGUCUUCUCCAACAUCACAGUUAGAAAGCAUCAAUUCUUCGGCGCUCAGCUUUCUUUAUAGUCCAACUCUCACAUCCAUACAUGACUACUGGAAAAACCAUAGCCUUGACUAGAUGGACCUUUGUUGGCAAAGUAAUGUUCUGCUUUUUAAUAUGCUGUCUAGGCUGGUUAUAGCCAUCAUUUUUACUGGCUACAGAGUAUUCCAUUGGUGGAUAGGUCAUGGUGUAAUAAUUAUCUCUGUUGGUCAUAUGUUUCUUUUUUUCCCCCACUAUUCUUCAUGAAAAAUUAUUUCACCCAGUGACCUCUUGAGAGCACACAGUAUAUGAGAUGAAUAUCAGACAGGAAGACCUGGGUUCUACUCAUGUCUGUCACUCUAAGGCUGUGUGACCUUGAGCAAGUCACUCUCUGUACCUCCAUCCCCUCGUUGUAUAAAGGAGGAGGAAAAACCUUGCCCUUUUUGUUUUGUGUAAGCCUCAUGUGAAUGAAAGGGCAGGAGGGGAGUGCUUUGAAUGUAAAUGUGCCGUGGGGGGAGACAAGGAAUAAGUUGUUGAUUAUAAUGACUCCUUUCCCUCUUUUCCCACCCUUCUCGCCCCUCACACUCCAUCACCUAAAUCUACGACCUUGCAGCAAGAAUAGUGGACCAGAGUCCACAAACCUGGUCCCGAGUCCCAGCUCCUCUACUUUCUUGCCCUAUGAUCCCAAAUAACUCAGCCUCUCUGAUCCCCAAUUUCUUCAUCUGUAAAAUGAGGGAAUAACAUCUACCUCACAAGGUUGUUGUGAGGAUGAAAUGAGAGAACAUGUCUUUUUUUGAUUUUUACCACCCCCAGGAGAAGCCAGAGGUCUGAACUGGGAGAAUGAGGGGUCUGGAUUCCCCUCUCUCAGAGGAACCUGGAACCCUGGGUUUUCCUUGGUUCCCAGGGCCCUUCUGAAAGACCAGACCUCCUGGCCAGGACCUGGUCAGAGGAAUGCUCUCAGCAACCUCUCCCACCCAGCACCUGACCUCAAGAAAUAUGGUGUUUAUUAAUUUACAUAAUCAUCAUUAUCAUCAGUAAUCCUGCAAACACAAUAUGCAGUUAAAUGAGACCGCCUGAACACCCCCUGAUUCUGAAGGUAUUUAUUCUAUCCCUCUAAGGCAUGCCUGCCAUCUCCCUCAGAAGUGACCUGCAGCUGGGAAGAAGCUCAAGGCUCCCUUCGCAUCACCCACAUCCCCGCCAUCAGUACCACCCCAUCCCGGGUCACCUGGGAAAUAGCUUUCCAAAGCACUAUCACCACUAGGUGACCACCUUGAAAGUGAACAAGGGCACCGCUGUUCAGGCGGCAUUCCAGGGCAUUUCCAGCUGUUCCCCAUGCCACCUUCCACGCUGUGGGAUGCAGUAAGGGACAGCUGGCAAAGGCAGUGGGCUAAAAUGCAUUGGAGGCUCCGUCUGAGGGGACGGACCAGAGCAAGGACCCUGCACAUUGCCUCAGGCCCAGCAGCAGCCUUCACUCUGCAGACUACCUCAGAGAUACCAAGCACUUCUGUGAACAGCUCAUCAGCAUGGAUUUACAGUGCCAGUCAGAACCAACUCCCAAUCAGCAAAGAUCCUGAGGAACAAGAGAUCUUGAAGACCUCACUUGGAGAUAUUUUAGAGCUCUAAGGAGUGAACAACAGGUGCCCGAGGGCUGUACUACUCAAACCCUGAUGAAGGACAAAUAGCACCUGCAGCAUUGAGGAACUUUCUAGAAAUCCAAAAUCAUGGACCCCCCACUCCAGACCUCCAGAACUCUAAUCUCUGCAGGUGGGGCCCAGAAAUCUCUUAGCAAGAUCCACCGAGUGAUUUCUAUGCAGGAACAUGAGCUUCCCAGGUGGCUCAGUGGUAAAGCAUCCUCCUGCCAAUGCAGGAAACUCAAGUUCUAUCCCUGAAUUGGGAAGAUCCCCUGGAGGAGGAAAUGGCAACCCACUCCAGUGUUCUUGCCUGGAAAAUCCCAUGGACAGAGGAGCCUCGCAGACUACAGUCCAGGGUGGUCACAAAAAGUCAGAUGUGACUGAGCAUGCACACACAUUAAUUAAAUGCAUCAAUAUGUUUUUAGAGAAGGAUCAAUAGUAUGGAUCAUAUCAAUAGAUCAUAGAAGGAUCAUAUCAAUAAUAUGAUCAAUUAGUUUGAGAAGCACUGCCUUGAGGGUCCUCUGGUCUCACUUAUUUCUUUCCCACACCUAGAGUUGUUAAUAUUUCCCACCCUAUCUCUUUUGACUUUUUUGGUGGCAAAGGGAAAUAGUAACAUUUCAGCAAAAGAUGGAAAAUUUCAAAAUCACUCCUAUUAUAAGCCUCCAGAUAAUAGUGAUUUCCAUUGUGCGUCCAUGUGUUCCCUUCUCAUCUUUGUCCACAUGCAAAAUAUAUUUUUUCAUAAAAGCCUUCUGUUACAGUAUUUUAAUCAGUAUCUCAUAACAUUUCUUCAUAAGCAUGUUUCUGCUACAGUCUUCCUAUUUAUCAUUUUAGUGGCUAUAAACCAUACCAUCUAGUGCAUGUGCAUAGUUAUCCAGAAUCCUAUUAUUAAGCAUAUGGAUUGCUUUCAUUUUUCCCUAGUAUAUAUGUUGCAAAAUAAAAAUAAAGAAAGCUUAAGACAGAUAUGAUGAACCCUGGGGCUUGCUCAGGAUGGUGGAUAAUAAAUAUUUAAAUAACACCCGCUGCACCUUAGAGACACAUGGGGGAGGGAGAGCCAUCUAAAUAUUUGAUCAUAAUAAGGGAAAACCCAACUGAAAUUUCAAGCUUUUGUUGUUGCUUUAGCUACUAAAGGAUGGAGGAGAUGGUCCUUUGUCAUCAGAGCAUCUUAGCCAGUUUGUAGCUGGCUGAGAUGAAGUUAGGGCUUGGGAUGGAGAGGUAAACUGUUCAGCAAAAGAAAUGGAGAGAAUUUUUGAAGACUGGAAGCUGGCAGAAAGAAAAUGAAAAACAUCAGAGAGAAAGAGGUGUUGACCUCCUCAACCCAGGAUUUAAGGCAAAAUAUGAUCAGAGAAAAAGUCCCCCUGCAGGGUACGGGUGACGGGGUCUCCAGACAGUGGUGUUUGGUGGUUGAUUUUAAGUUGUUGCCUGUUCUGUGCUCUACUCCAGUCCCUUCCUGUUACCCCAAACCCUCAGUAAAGUCUGAUACACAAUCC
rnacentral:lncRNA from 1 species